rnacentral:rRNA from 1 species
AUUGAACGCUGGCGGCAGGCCUAACACAUGCAAGUCGAACGAGCGGCGGACGGGUGAGUAAUGUAUGGGGAACUGCCUGAUGGAGGGGGAUAACUACUGGAAACGGUAGCUAAUACCGCAUACCGUCAGCUGUGCCCAUUUGGGAUUCGCUGGUAGGUCAGGUAACGGCUUACCUAGGCGACGAUCCCUAGCUGGUCUGAGAGGAUGAUCAGCCACACUGGGACUGAGACACGGCCCAGACUCCUACGGGAGGCAGCAGUAGGGAAUAUUGCACAAUGGGCGCAAGUCUGACGGAGCAAUGCCGCGUGAAUGAAGAAGGCCUUCGGGUUGUAAAGCACUGUUAGUCGGGAGGCGGUACCGAAAGAAGAAGCAACGGCUAACUCCGUGCCAGCAGCCGCGGUAAUUC